rnacentral:rRNA from 2 species
UUAGGAAUAUUGGGCAAUGGAGGAAACUCUGACCCAGCAACGCCGCGUGAAGGAUGAAGGUCUUCGGAUUGUAAACUUCUGUUCUAUAGGAAGAAUAAAGUGACGGUACUUUAGAAGAAAGCCUCGGCUAACUACGUGCCAGCAGCCGCGGUGAUACGUAGGGGGCAAGCGUUGUCCGGAAUGACUGGGCGUAAAGGGAGUGUAGGCGGUUUUUUAAGUUAAAUGUGAAAGCCUGGGGCUUAACCCCAGAACUGCAUUUAAUACUGGAGAACUUGAGUGUGGGAGAGGUAAGUGGAAUUCCUAGUGUAGCGGUGGAAUGCAUAGAUAUUAGGAGGAACAUCAGUGGCGAAGGCGACUUACUGGAACAUAACUGACGCUGAGGCUCGAAAGCGUGGGGAGCAAACAGG